GUGCCAGCAGCCGCGGUAAUACGGAGGGUGCAAGCGUUAAUCGGAAUUACUGGGCGUAAAGCGCGCGUAGGUGGCUUGAUAAGCCGGUUGUGAAAGCCCCGGGCUCAACCUGGGAACGGCAUCCGGAACUGUCAAGCUAGAGUGCAGGAGAGGAAGGUAGAAUUCCCGGUGUAGCGGUGAAAUGCGUAGAGAUCGGGAGGAAUACCAGUGGCGAAGGCGGCCUUCUGGACUGACACUGACACUGAGGUGCGAAAGCGUGGGUAGCAAACAGGAUUAGAUACCCUGGUAGUCCACGCCGUAAACGAUGUCGACCAGCCGUUGGGUGCCUAGAGCACUUUGUGGCGAAGUUAACGCGAUAAGUCGACCGCCUGGGGAGUACGGCCGCAAGGUUAAAACUCAAAUGAAUUGACGG
rnacentral:rRNA from 1 species